rnacentral:rRNA from 1 species
UACGUAGGUGGCAAGCGUUACUCGGAAUUACUAGGCGUAAAGCGCAGGUAGGUUGUUAGGUAAGUCCGUAAUGAAAUCUCCCGGCUUAACUGGGAGGGGUUUGGGGAUACUGCCUGACUCGAGUUUGGGAGAGGUGACUGGAAUUCCUGGUGUAGCGGUGAAAUGCGUAGAGAUCAGGAGGAACACCUAUGGCGAAAGCAGGUCACUGGCCCAAUACUAACGCUGAGCUGCGAAAGCUAGGGGAGCAAACAGG